rnacentral:rRNA from 1 species
GACGAACGCUGGCGGCGCGCUUAACACAUGCAAGUCGAACGGAAAGGCCUGCUUUCCCUUGUGGAUUGCGGGUACUCGAGUGGCGAACGGGUGAGUAACACGUGAGUGAUCUGCCCCCAACUUGGGUAUAAGCCUGGGAAACUGGGUCUAAUUCCCGAUAGGACUGCAGGGUGGUGCCUGUGGUGGAAAACGAUUUUCUAGUGGUUGGGGAUGAGCUCGCGGCCUAUCAGCUUGUUGGUGGGGUAAUGGCCUACCAAGGCGGGGACGGGUAGCCGGCCUGAGAGGGUGGACGGCCACAUUGGGACUGAGAUACGGCCCAGACUCCUACGGGAGGCAGCAGUGGGGAAUAUUACACAAUGGGCGGAAGCCUGAUGCAGCGACGCCGCGUGGGGGAUGACGGCCUUCGGGUUGUAAACUCCUUUCGACCGCGAGGAAGCCACCUGGUUGGAAGGGUGGUGACGGUAGUGGUAGAAGAAGCACCGGCUAACUACGUG